rnacentral:rRNA from 1 species
UACGUAGGGUGCGAGCGUUGCCCGGAUUUAUUGGGCGUAAAGAGCUCGUAGGCGGUGUGUCACGUCGGCCGUGAAAACCUGCAGCUUAACUGUGGGCGUGCGGUCGAUACGGGCAUCACUGGAGUUCGGCAGGGGAGACUGGAAUUCCUGGUGUAGCGGUGAAAUGCGCAGAUAUCAGGAGGAACACCGGUGGCGAAGGCGGGUCUCUGGGCCGUAACUGACGCUGAGGAGCGAAAGCAUGGGGAGCGAACAGG